GACGAAGGAUGCAAGCGUUAUCCGGAUUCAUUGGGUUUAAAGGGAGCGUAGGUGGCCUUAUAAGUCAGUGGUGAAAUCUUCGAGCUUAACUCGGAAAUUGCCAUUGAUACUGUAGGGCUUGAGUAUAGUUCCGUUGGCGGAAUAUGACAUGUAGUGGUGAAAUACAUAGAAGAUGUCAUAGAACACCGAUUGCGAAGGCAGCUGACGAAACUAUAACUGACACUGAGGCUCGAAAGUGCGGGGAUCAAACAGG
rnacentral:rRNA from 1 species